GACAGAGGGUGCAAACGUUGUUCGGAUUUACUGGGCGUAAAGCGCGUGUAGGCGGCUUUGCAAGUCGGAUGUGAAAGCCCACGGCUCAACCGUGGAAGUGCAUCCGAAACUGCAUGGCUUGAGUCUCGGAGAGGAAGGUGGAAUGCUUGGUGUAGAGGUGAAAUUCGUAGAUAUCAAGCAGAACACCUGCGGCGAAGGCGGCCUUCUGGGACUCAACUGACGCUGAAGCGCGAAAGCAUGGGGAGCGAACGGG
rnacentral:rRNA from 1 species